UCGUUUGGUAAAUCAUUGAUAAAAUAUACUCAUCAACAACUUCUAGGGUGAGUAUGGUUAGUUAGUUAAUAAAUUGGGUAUAAUAAUUAUUAUUAUCAUUGUUUGUGUUGUUUGUAUAGUUGGUGUUUUGGAAUUCGAAAGUUUUAAGAUGUUUGUUGCUAUGAUGAUAAUUUAAACUGCUAUUUGGUUGGGGUAAAUAGCAGUUUGGGUAAUACUUGAAUUUUUAUUUUUAAUUUGUUCUUGUAUUUUUUUUUUUUGAGUUUUAUAACUAUUAAAUUUACAUAAUUAAGAUACGAAAAUUUGAGUUUUCCACAAUAAUACAAAUGUCAUAUAGGUUAUAUGUAUGAUUCCUAUGAGAAAAAGACUUAAAGAAACAACAUAAUCACUAAAAUUAAGGAAAUUUUGUAUAUAACCACUUUUUAAAUCCCUUUUUAUUUUUUAUUUUUUUUUAUGUGCAAAAACCUACCUUUUUAAGAAAAUGUUGUUAAACACCACCAGUUUUUUAAAAUAAUUUGCAACAUACCACCGAAAGUGGAUGUUGACCACUUUUUCUGGCAUUGACCUAGUGAUGUGACUAUUAAUGAACCCUAAUUCCCCCCCUUUUUUUUCUUUCUUUCUUUCUCUUCUUUUGAUUUCCCUCUUCUCCUCUAUUACUCUUUCUUUUACUUUUUGUUCCUCCAUUGUUGAUGUUGUUGCUACUUCUUCACAAAUCAAGAGGUAAGUUUUCUUAGGAAUUUUUGUUAGGAACCCUAAUUAAUGUUGAUUGCUGCUGCUUUAAUUCUUCCACCAACCACGAGUUAUCCACCACCAACAAUCCCCUCUCACAGGCCGCUCACCACCCACGAGUUACCCACCACCCAGCUACCUUGCCUCCAUAGCAAAACCCACCCGCCCACCCAGCCAACCCAACCGCAAAGCCACUCUUUAUCAAUAGUGAAGUAGCUACCUACACCCAUUCGCUACCAUCACCUCGAAAAACCAUUCAAGAACAACCCACCCAUCAUAAAAACCAACCCACUUCCCUUCAAAAACCCAAGAUCUAAGUGGCAAUUCGAUGAGGGAGAAGAGGGGUUGUGACUUGACAAGGGAGGGAAGGGAAAAAUAGGAGGAGAAGAGGGAAAUUGAAAGAUAAAUUGUCAUUUGGGGGGGAAUUACGGUUCAUUAAAGGGGAAAUCGAAAGAAAAAAUGUCAUUAGGGGGAAAUCGAAAGAGUAAAAUGUCACGUGUCACGCAUGUGACUAGAUAAACGCCGGAGAAAGUUGUUAACAUCCACUUUUCCGCAGUUGGUGAAAUCCGAACUUGAUUUUUCAAAAUAUUAUAUUCUGGAGUGUUCAGAUGCGAAUCAUGUUUGUAAUCGAACUGCAUGAUCUCAUGGAGCAUCAUAUCAUUAGUCUCCACCCAACAUGUGCAAAGGCUUUUGUAGAUCCUAAUGAUAAAACAGCUAUUGAUUUCCGUGAAAUGAUGAAGAGAUCAAACAAUACCGUUCUCAGGGAAUUGUUAGUAGAAGGAGAUUAUGAUUAUAGAAAUAAAUUAUCAGCUUGGCAGCAGAACUUGCGGAAUGUUUCCCCUAGUGCUUCGCGUUCACAUGUAUUAGCGAGCAAUCCGAGUGAUAUAUUAGAACAAGGAUUGACACGUAUUCGGGACGCAUAUCGACAUGCCUUCAAAAACAUUGGGACAUGCCAUUCGCUUGAAGAAAUACAACACAUGUUUCAACAUGUGUUUCCCAAGCAUAUGAUCGAAUUUGCAAACUUGCAGAGUAGAUUAUCUUUCGAUGUUGUGAGCGGCGUUAAUGAUUUAUUAUCGGCUCCUUCUUUGAAAAGUCCUCUUGGCGCUUACAACCCAUUAUGAUGGUCAUGGCUCCAGCUCCGGGCAAAAUUUGCAUUCCAAUCCCGCCUCUACUGGCCCAGAUGUCUGAAUGCCUUCAUUUUCCUAAGCCAGUCUAUGAACUUGUAGAUUUUCGGACAAAUAAUGUAGUGUCCAUGUGUGGGCAGAGAAUUGUUCAGAUAUUUGUCUUUUUUUUUUGGUGGAGAAGCUGCCAGCAUGGAGGAGUCUUCUGAAAGAGCUGCCACGACAUCAUUUGGCUCUCUAAUUAAUCGUUAUUGUGUCCAUGUAGAUGACUUCAAGAUGAUAAGGUCCGAAUGUAUGGGCAUUGGGGGCGCUUCUUUAACCUUAAACGCCAACAGCUUGAGCACCUUUCUCGAGUGAAACCAGUGCCUGCUAUGUGGAAAUGGGCACUGUUGGGCCUUCGACCUGCUAUCCAGUACAUCCGUAUUGACUACAAGGAGUGCCUCUGUGUUGUUUGUUGGGCAAAUGGGGGCUUCAUACAAAAGCCUUGGGUUCAAUUCUCUCAGACUUAUUGAAAGGCCUCAUAGACUUCUUAUUCCUUCUGUACUUGUAUUUCUAGAGCUGCCUUGCAUUUUGGGUCUCCUCCAUCUGCACCAGGAUGAUGAAUCCAGAAAAGAGUGACAAGGCCCUGCUUUGUGAGCUCACCCCACGAUAUAGGCAUAUUAAGUCAACAGCUAAUGUUUGAGGACAUGGUACCAACGGCUAUUCUUUGAGGAUGACGAGGAACUCAAGAAUCUGAGACCCCAGCUUUACUCUGCCGCUGAAUACUGCGAGAAGUCUUAUCUUCAUAGUGAGCAGAAACAAAUGGUAUUGGACAACCUAAAAGAUUAUGCUGUACGAGCCUAGUAAAUGCUGUAGAUCACCUAGGCACUGUUGCGUACAAAUUGACUGACCUUGAGCAACAAACUUCAGAUGUGUCAAACACAGAGCUGAAAGUAACAUGUCUAAAUCAGCUUAUCAUUUUGUCUUCCGAAACUUCUCACGUGCCACACGUAUAUGGAGAUGGAAGGACUUAGGCAGCAGCAACUUUUGGCAAUUAUUCCGAGACAUCACAAACGCGAUUUAUUGCCAAAAAAACACUCUGCCAUAACAAUGUUUGAGAACCAGAUUGAGGAGUACAAAGAUUUCUGGCAAAAGGUCAAGGACUAUGAAAUUGCCAAUGCAUCACUUAGACCAGUGGUUGACUUGUUGGUCGGUACGCAGCCAGGCCUGAUGACUGCUAGAUGAGUUUUGGAGGCCAAGCCAUAAUACAGACGCUAAGUACUGAUAAGGCACCUGUCCUACCCAAGUAUGUUUCAAUUGCAGCUGUCCCACACACAUACAACCAAACUGAUUGCUAUGAUGUAUUGGGAGUUAUCUUUUUUGUUAGUGAGCUUAGAAUUUGACAACAGUGCAUGGAGUUGAUCAUCCAGUGCGCAAAAUUAAUUGUGAUCACAAUCCACAGGGUUGCAGCAAAUAUGCUCAUGUUAAGCGACCAAAUGGCAUGAAUUUGGGAAAUUUAGAAUUCAUCCUCAGAAAGUCAUUAGACAAAUUGGAAGCAUCAAACAGAGAAAGCAUAACAUUCAAGUUUGAUGUGUCGGAUAGAUCUAGAUCAAUGCACUUUACAGCUUUCACUGAAGAAUGCAAGAAACUAUUCAGACUUUUGGCUGCGGAGAUCUUUGAGAAAGUGACAGUGGUUUUGCCUGGGGACACUCGUUUUGGGACAAUUGCAAGGGACCUGCUUGCAAACCAUUUUCUAAUCCAUGAAUUUUUGUAUCAAGGAACAAGGUGCCUACUUGGGUGCUCAAGUCAGUCAGGUGGGAAUAGAGCAGAGCAGCCCUGCAUCACUGCUACUCCCUCCUACUUGGGUGCCUACUUUCAAACGUAGGAAACAUUGUCUCAAGCCUCUGAAUUGUAUUGGCAGAUGAUGUAUAUGACGUUCCACUCAGGGUUUUCAGCAAAUCUGAAGCAUACUUAAUCUAGAGCAUUCAAUAUCAUCUCAUCCAGUGGUCUAUCAAUGUUCCUUUACCAUACUAGUUGAGGACAUCAAGAGUUGCAACCAUUGCCUUUUUUUUUAUUACGUUUACCACGAAAUAAUAUCUCUGCCAUACUUUUGACAAGUAUUGAAUCAAUGUUUAGGACUUUGAAUUUAAUCUAUUAUAUUACCUUUGUUUCUGUAGAUUUCAUUGCAGCCACUUCUUUUGGUGUGAUGUUUAAAUACUUUAAUUAUAAAUGGCUCUACUAAAUAAUUUAAA